CAGCCGCCGCGGUAAUACAGAGGGUGCGAGCGUUAAUCGGAUUUACUGGGCGUAAAGCGUGCGUAGGCGGCUUCUUAAGUCGGAUGUGAAAUCCCUGAGCUUAACUUAGGAAUUGCAUUCGAUACUGGGAAGCUAGAGUAUGGGAGAGGAUGGUAGAAUUCCAGGUGUAGCGGUGAAAUGCGUAGAGAUCUGGAGGAAUACCGAUGGCGAAGGCGGCCCCCUGGACAAAGACUGACGCUCAGGUGCGAAAGCGUGGGGAGCAAACAGGAUUAGAUACCCCAGUAGUCCCUGUCUCUUAUAC
rnacentral:rRNA from 1 species